rnacentral:rRNA from 1 species
CCCAAACCAAUAAAGUUUUCUUUAUUGGGGUUGCGGACAUAUCAUAACGAAGAGGUAUCGUAAUUGAAGAGGUUUGGAAAGACCAACCACAGAAGGUAAUAGUCCUGUAUGUUAAACGAGAAGACUUCAGAUAUGAUCCAGAGUACCACGGGACACGUGAAACCCGGUGGGAAGCAGGAGGGACCACCCUCCAAGGCUAAAUACUACCUAGUGACCGAUAGCGUAUAGUACCGUGAGGGAAAGGUGAAAAGAACCCCGGGAGGGGAGUGAAAUAGAACCUGAAACCCUGCACUUACAAGCUGUGGAAGCACAUUUCUUGUGUGACCGCGUACUUUUUGUAGAACGGGCCAACGAGUUACGUUAAGUAGCAAG